UUAGGUUAGGUGGAAUGAUUACAUGGAUUCUGCACAACUAGGUCAAGAAUGUAGAGUUUGCAAAUGAGUAUAUCAAAGAGACUCCCUCCUGUACUUAUGAAGGUAUUGAGUUGAGGUUUCACUGUUCCUCAAGUCUUUCUUCCCCCUGCCCAUGCUCCUGUUUCUUAUAUAUGACAUUAAGGAAGAAUCAUGGCAACACAUCUAAAACCUUCAAGUCUGGCCAUGGGAACACAGGAAGUAGAUAGUGUAGUACAGAUAUCAAAUGUGAAUAGAGAAAAGAAUUGUAUACUCCAUGUGGUCCUUUGCUUUAUUGAUGAUGGUAAUUUUUGAAUAACAUAAGGAUUUGGGAAUUUAUAAUUGAAGUAGGUACACCAUAUUUACACUGUUAUUCUCAGUCUAUAGAUGGGCCCACUUUGUUUCCAAAAUCAUAGCAGAGAAUGGAAUUUGAAAACAGAAUUUUUGAGUACAUAUUCAGGAAUAUUUAUAAUGUCCCCUAUGAAGGAAUGUACAAUAGGAAAGUGAAAUACAAUAUUCAUUCAACGAAAGGUGUGUAGGUAAAGUACUGGCCUUUAUAAAAUUAAGAAAACCUAGAAAAUUGAACUGUAUGUCACAGGAAUUGACCUGGGAAUAAAAAUAUUAUCCAGAAGAAUCUCCUCCACUCCAAGUUCCUAAAUAAUUUCUAUCCAUGCCAGGAACCUGACUCAUUUUCUCCAUUCAGAAGUCACUAGCUUUAGAGAGAUGGAGAACGAAAGUUUCCACUGUGUCACAGGAGACAUACCUAAAUUGGCACCCUCAAAACUGGUUAAUGUAAGGAAAGCUGUUUAGAGUCAGGCCAUGGCAGUUCUCAGUGACAAUAUCAUUAGGCUCUCCCUGAAAAAUCUCUUGUAUCCUUGAGAGCACUAGCUUCUUCUGUGAUGUAAUAAGUGUUGUCCUGACUGCAAAUGCCUCUCAGAUAUUACUUCAGUACCUAUAGGUUUUACUAAUUGGCCUCAAAUUCAGGGGAAACAGUCAUUAGGGAGGGAGAACAAAGACGAUGAAGAAAUCAGAGAUGGGGAGAACGAAGCUGGUCUUCUGUCUUGGUAUAAAAGAAGGAAGAAAUACAUCAUCCCUGAGAAAUCUCACUGAAGCCUUGGUAGGAGUGGAAUAUGAAAAAUAGUCCUGAGGAAGGAGGGACAACAAGUAUUGUAUCGUCAUGUCAUCUCAAGAAAAACUCUCAAAACUCAUCCUGGCUGACAAUGUAGAUUAGACGCAUCAGAUGAAAUGAAUUGAAAAACUCUCCUGGGAAUGAAAGUGGUAAGGAAAUCACAUUGAUGUAUCCUAAAUGCAGUGCUAAGAGCAAUAUUCAGACUAGUCUGUGGAGAUGCUGCUGUCAUCAGAGACCACAGACAAUUAGUGGAGAAUGAUUCAGCAUUAAACUGGGAAUGGAAGAUGAUGGUUGAUAUUGUUCUAGUAGAUCUCACUACAUUAAAAAGUGUUUCUUCCAGAUAACUGAAUGAUUAUUGUAAAGCAAAUCCCGGAAUGAACUUAUGAGACCCACCAUCAGCCUGUCAAAUAAUGUGCGAAAGAAGAAAUCUGUGUCUCUCCAGGGACAAAUUGUUGCUUUCAAACCAACAGUAAAGUGUCCAUUCUAUGAAU